UCUUUCCACAGUUCUGCUUUUACCAGCCUUAUCGUAAGAAAUACGAUCACAUGAAACUAUAAGGUUGAGAUGAAGUGCGGUAUCUUCUUUAAAUGCAUGAAUGCUAAUGUGCCUGAAGUAGGAGCUAUGGUUUUUCUUGAUGGUAUGAUUUUGGUAACAACUGUAUUGUUUCAGGUCGCUGGAAGCCAAAAAAAACUUACUGGGGCUAGGUAAUGGAUGUUCAGGCAGGCUGUAGCUUCAAAGAAAAAGGAAGCAGCAGCUGUAGAAAGAUGAAACUAUAGUUAUAGCUACAUUUGCUUUGGUAGAUAUAAAGGCUUUUAUUGUAUACUCAGUGGUUAAUGUGUUAUGGGAAGAUUAUAGAAUUAGUCAGGAAUAAAGUUGAUAGCUCGUUUAUUUCCCAUCUCACAAAUGUAUAUGUAAACAGUCACACACAAAGGUAUACAAGUCUGGGUUACAUAUCACAGGUAUUUCAUAUGCAUGGGCUGUAAAACAGGGAGCUGCUUUGGUAGCAAAGUUGUGCAAAAGAGAAGCUCACUAUGCAGAGAAGAGUGGAGUAGUUGCAGGGAGGAAAAUGACAAAGGUACGCAGUAAGAACAAGCAGCCUGCAUUUUUGCUGAUACCACCAGCAUUGCCAAAGCCGUGGGAUUUUAAUAAUGUAGUCUGUUAAGGAACGAUGGGAGACAUGGUGAGAAAUGAAAUGUGGUGUAAGGUGUUAAUCCCAAGGCAGGGCAAGCGGCGAUUGCUGCAUGGUCCGGAAGGACAGUGCUUUGACCUCUUACGAGCCUGAAAUACGCAGCUGUGACUAUGAAAGCAAUCCAGGUUGCUGCUGUUCUUGAGCACGCAGGAGGCCAUCCUCCUACCCCACCCUGAUCUCUGUGCAUCACUGAGCAGAAAGAUGCUGCUGCUGUGUCCUAUUUGAGUGUCUUUUUGCACUAGUGUAGUUCUGAAAUGAGCUGCAUUGAUUUGUCUCCACUGCUUCGUAGAUUAAUUCCCUCCCCUGCGCUGUCAAAUUAAAUGAACAGAACUACACCUUCAGUAGCUUCAAAUGAACUGGAAACACUUCAAUUUUGUUCAGUUUACUUCUGUCCAUUACCAGAGUUUUACUUUUUUCAACCUAUUACUUACCUGAAGACCUGAUCCUACAGCUUUGCUUAGGCUGGGAGCUCUGGGGGCAGGGAUUUUCUACUGGUAGGCUGGUGUACAGGACAUCAUAGUGGAGAUCUUAUCAAACUGAUGUGGUACUGCCGCUCAUCAAUAGCAGCGGCAGGUCCUGUUAGCUUGAGCAGAAAACUCUGAGUAGCCACAGGGCAGGCUGAGGCUCCCCAGCAGUUGAAUGAAGUCUGGAUAGCUCUAUUCCUCAAGCUUUUGGAGUUACCGCAGUACCAUAUUUGCUGUGGAAACUGCAAGUGCCAUACCCCUCAUUAGCAGGCAGAUGGCUAAACUUGGAGACGGUUUCAGUAAUAGCAAUAAAAUAAGAAAUUAGGACUUCCUGGAAGCUGUACCAUGUCUUAGAUCCUGGCAAAGUUCUUAAGCAGUCUGUUGUAGCAAGCGAUACGAUACUUUUUCAGAACACUGAUAACUUAAAAAUCACUGCAAGGUGGAUAUAAUUGAUUCUGCUGCUACACAAAGAUACUCUUCUGCUACAGUGAAUCUGGAGGAGCACAGCCUGAUAUUUUGAUUUAUAUUGCGAAAUAUGAAAGACCUUUUCAUUAAGAAAAGCUAAUUUCUGUCAUUCUGGCAUCCUAAGAAAUGUGGUAGUUUCAGUCUGAAGCCAAGAUUCCUUUGGGAUAUCUGUUACUCAUAAACGUUUCAAUUCUCAGUUGUUCUGAUUUAAUGAUGUGGAAGCCUGGCUGUUGGAUAUUUGCAGGAAGCUGUUCAGACACCCAGCUGCAGGCAGUCUCUGCAUUGUAGGCUUUUGGGUGGCAGACUGUGAAGUUCUGGCUUUGCAGAGCAGUAUCCUGGACAGCUGCAAUUACCUGUGGUGAGGUGAUGGAUAAGGCCAGACACAAGCAGGACUCUUCACCAAACUCCACCCCAAAGCUCUUCAGGUAAAGGAUUAAAUAGGGAAGAUCUUAAAGGUUGCUUCAUGGCAAUAUUUAGCUCUGGGCACUGAUCUUUUCAAUAUUUAGAUUAGGUUCAAAGAUGGCUUAUACUGGUCUCGAUGCUAUCAAGACUUGAAGCAUAAGCAAUUUUCCAGUGUAUUCAGCCAUGUUUUCUGACUCAGUUAUUCCAGACUAAUAAUAUAGAGAUUACUUUUUUUCUUUUCCCAGAGCAAAAGUUAGAUUAUUUAGCAGCCACUGGUUCUCUUUGAUUGAUAACUUCAGCAAAUCAUUCUCGUGACUGGUUCACAGAAGUCUGUGUCUUGUCUGAGUGAAAUCUGGGCAGAUUUUACUCAAUAGGAAAUGUGGCUGUUUUUCACAAGAAUUUUUCUAAACAUAUAGCUACAGAAGGGAAGGGGGCAGACACGGCCAGAAACAAAUGAAAACAUGAAACCACACUUGGAUCAGAUCUUGUCCUCUUCUUGUAACUAAAUUCAGAAGUAUUUUUUUAGCAGUUAGGUUCUACCCUGAAGUCAUGAAUUGAGUGGUUGCUGUGCAGACUCACAGUAGGAGCUUUAAGUGGUGUUAGCUUUUCAUUUGUUUUGGUUCAUUUUGAUUGUUUGUUCUUUCCAUGAAAAUCCUUACUUCUGGUCAGGUAGAAGGCUCACUUUUGAGAAGAGGAGCAGUGGGUAAUGAAGUUUUUGUGUCUCUGCUUUGUUGUGCUUUACAUGGACUUCUCUUGUGCGUCUGAGAUUGUUCUGUCUGACUAUGGAUGGUGACAUGCUGGACAGGGACCCAGAGAGGUUUUGGGGAAUCGCCAUCCUUGGACCACACUCAGAUAACAACGUGACAAGACUGCGAGUGACCUGAUGCAGCUUCACAGCUUCAGGGUGUUCUGACCCCUGCACUGAUCCACUGACACCUAAAUUCAGUUGAGGAUCUGGUGUGGCUGCUCAUGUUACCAAAUUCAUCACUUAUUCAAAGACAUGGGAGAAUUCUGGAUUCUGCAUGAAGGAAAGGUGCUUGGUAAGUGUUGCUGCUUUGCUCCAGCUGUCUCUCCUGGAGGACACUACAUUUUUUGUGUCAUUUUAGUGAAAGUCUGUGUUCCUGCACUACUCUUUUAUCAAUUACCUUAACUUACCCCAGUGUAUUUGACAGUGUGUCACUUCUGGAAAGGGUGUCACAAUACUCAGCAUAUUUGGAAGUGAAAGGCUGAAUAUCCCCCAGUUGUUUCAAUCUGAGCAUAACUUGCCUGAAGGUUGGAGUUGCUGAUUAUAUUACCUCAGAACAUGUAUUAAAGAGGACAGCAAUGCUAGACAUUUACUUUUCUCUGGCAUGGGAAAUGCAAUUAAUUCCAUUUAAUCAGAGCGUAACUGGGUGCUCCAAAUUCAGAAGCACUGGGGAUAUUGCUGUAAUGAAUUGUCUUCUGUUUUCUGAGCAUGUGAUGUCAUUUAGCAGGACAGGCUCUGAUGGCAAAACCAUCUCAUUUUCAGAGGAGGAAAGUUACCCACUUGGGAACCAUAUGUCUGCACAAGAACAGGACAGCCUCUAGUUUCCAUUAGGGAUGUUCUUACUUUUGCUUCCUCCUUACUCCGUUACCUCACAAAUGUCCUUCAGAUGCUUGAUGUAGUCUCUCUCUGUGCUUAAGAUCUCAUUGAUAACGUUGGUCCUCAUUUGAUCUUUGGUGGUCUGCCCCAUCCCGAAGCGGCGGGUACCACUGCUGGAGUCGUCCUCUUUGCCACCCUCUGCCUUUACAGGGUAAUCUUCCACGGGUUCAUCCUGGUUCACUCGGAGCUGUACCACACACAAGACAUUCACUGUUUGUAGUAAUAAACACAAGUCUUCCAAAGAAGCUUCCCCCUCAGAAGUGGCUUAAACAGAUGGACAGAGGAGGAGGGUCCCCGUGCGGCAGGCAAGGAGAAGCUUUGAAGCAGCCACAGGAGGAGGGAAGCAACCCUUGUAGAAAGUGGAGGCGGCAGAGCUGUGCUUCAUCUUAUUUCAACCUGCGUGUGAAGAGUACGGCAUGACAGAGCUUACCAGGGGCAUGUGCAUGAGCCCAGCUAAAUGUGAUUUUUCAAAGUCCAGAGUGAUGCAAGAAGUUCCCAGUUCCUCACCUAAGAUAUAGCAGCUGAUUAUUUUAAAGCAAGAAAUAGACUGAAAUUGCUUUAGAUCCUUUUACUUCCAGAUGAAAUAGGCUAGGAAAGCUCUUUUGAAAGAGUGGGGCAGUGACCUGCAGCUAAGGAGGACCCUUCCUCAUCUAGGUCCUGUCAGUGCCCUCAGUACCCCAGCCAUCACUCUCCCAUAACCUGUAAAUCAGAAGUCUACUAAUUGGGGAAAUUAACAUCCUUAAGCUUUGACACUGAGGAAACAAGAGCUCUUACCAAAUUUGACAGUACUCCUCUAAAUGUUAUCUUUAUAUCACAUAUAGAAGUUCACUACUUCUAGCAGUUGCCAGUAGUGCUUAGAGUAAAUAAAGCUAUUAAACAGCUUCCAUUUUAAUCUUUCAUGCAAGUUUCCAGAGGACAGUUAUUUAAACUUAUGUCUAUAAGACAUUUAUUUUCUGGUAUAAGUGAUAUUUUCAUAUUUUCAAACAAACGGAUACAAUGGUGAUUGACUUGGUGAUAAAAUGGCAAAUGAAAUUCUCUGCUGAUAAACGUAGCACAAGCAGUAUCUAACACAAACGGCUGACUCUAAAUGAGCUGCUCCUCAAGAAUGUCUCUGCAGACAGACUUAGGAAAACACCAGCCUGGUGCAUCAGGGUCAGAAAGUCUGAAUGUCAGGGAUGACUCGGAAAGAAAAGCAGAGAACUAUAAAAGGCACAAAGAGCAACACCAGUUGGGAGUCUGGAAGAGUUUCCAGGCCAGAACAAGCUGAACAGACUUUGAAGCUGCAACAGAAAAAGGUGGAUGGAGGCUGACCACAACAUGAAGGUUUACGAAAUGAUUAACAGGCUUGAAAUGCAAGGCCCAUGUGUGAGAUCGCCAGGCGAGAAUUUUAAUACAAAAGUAGUACUUUUUCCUGUUGUACAUAAUUAUGCUGUGCCACAGAAUGCCAUGAGCCAAACACAGAUGGUUUUAAAAAGAGAUUAAGCAAAUCUAUGUCCUUCAAGGCCACUUAAACGUAUUAUAUCUGGAUACCACCUCUGGCCCAUCAAGGAUCUUAAACACAUCUGGAAAGGCACACAAUGGAAAGAACAGGGCCAUACUUAAAUGUUUUCCUAAGCAGUUACCCCAAGUCACAGCUAAAAGGGCCUGGCUGGCCCUACAGAGCUGGUCUUAGGUCAUUAGUGCAGUAAAAAAUACAAAUGAAAAUACAUCUAUUAUUUUCCAUUUUGACUAUUUGUAUUACCUGCAAAUACUUCUUGAAAAGGUGAGACCCCAAAACGUUAACUUGACGCAGACAGAUACGUUCCCUGAGGUACUGCAACACUGUCGUUCAGCUAGAAAAUUAGCAAUUGCUAACACAGUAAUUACAAGGACAUUACGUCCUCUGGGGUAGAACUGGGACUUCUCAAGCAGAGGUAAGUGCAGCACUUUUGCACAGCUUAGACGUAACAGAUCCUACAUGCUGUACAUCCUAUCCAUGCAACACUUGCCAAGCACAUGGAGGAAUGUCAGUCACACGCACAGAGCAGCCAUUUGCCUCUAACACUUGGACAUCCAACCCCUGGCUGCUUGUUUUCUGCCCAAAAAAGAAAAAGGGGAGGAAAAUAAGGGAGGACAAAAGUGUACCCAGGGAAACCUGACUGAUCAGACAUCUGGGAUGCAUUCAGAGAGGAGUCCCUGUGUGCAGGCUACAAGGUGGGUAUGUGCUGCAUCCUCACUCAAGAUGCUCAGAAAGACCUUUACAAUUAAGAGCGCAAAGAACCUAAAAACCUCCUUAAGCUCACAAAGCCAGAGAACUUAAGUCAUUCCAAAGCUCUAAAUCAGCUUAAACAGCUUAAACUCAUCUAAGGCCUUAAAGUGUCUUAAGCAUUUUAAACCCAUCUAAAGCCUUUGAGUGGCUUAAGGAGCUUAAAAGCUCUAAGGCUUAGAAAGUGGCUUAAGUAUCUUCAGCUUCUGGCAAGCCCACUUCUCACACCUCUCCCACGUGCAUGGCACCUGCCACGCCAGGUUAAGGUGUCUGGUGUACCCAAAGAACCCGGAUCUCUGACAGAAUCUUUCUUUUUAAUGCUCUUCACAUCUUUGGGAAGCGGUGCAGCCCUCUCCUGACAACUCUGCACCGCAGGAGGUGGCACAGACACUCACCUGUUUGUAGUAGGGCUUCCUAGGCUGGUGCCAUAACUGCGUCUGGAAAUCAGCCACACUCUGCCCUUAUUUUCUUUGUUUUGAAAGACUGGAAAGGAGUAAGCGUGGGGUUGAACUCUCAGAUCUGAACAAGACUUGUCCUGGGGCACAAGCUACAAAGCUUCUCGUUUCUAGUUCCAUUCUGGCUGUAGAUGCAUACAUCUACUGAUUCCCCUUCUCCACCUCCCCAACAGUUCUGAUGUUCACGUUUACUUCAGGAUAGGAAGUAUUUCCCUGGUUAACACAAUACCUUUUCUGAUGCCCUAAUUUUAACUGUACGAUCUGGGACUGCAAAUAGCCCAAGAUGUUUCUGUUUGGCUGUUCGCACAUUUAGGAGUGACUACUUUCGCAUCCUUUUUAAGCUACUGUUUUUCAGUCACACAAAUAGAAAUGAUUUUAUUUAGAAAAAAAAUAUUUAAAUGGCACAAUAACACAUUAUUAUGUCACUUAAGCUACACAUUUUCCCCAUUCUCCUCUUACCACUGCCUGCAGGAUUGCGUUUCCUUUGUGCACUCUCACCGCUACAUCCACUUACAAUAUUACCUCUCCUCUUCCUUCAUUACAGUACAGCUUCUGAUUCCACUGUGUCUUCCGUAACUUAAUUUUGAGAUUUUGCCUUUCUACCUCCUUUUUCACUUCCUCUUCCACCAUUUUAACUUUGGACACGUGGGGAACAGAGGUCCUCUUUGGCUACGGAUCCCCCAUGUCACUGCUGCACUUUGUGGCAGAGGGUCUUACGACAACGUCAGUGAACCAGGCCAGCUGCAGCCCAUCCAAUGUGGGGACUCAGCAAGCAUAAAUGCUGCCUCCCUGGCUCUUCGCAGAAGAAAAGGAAAAGGAACUCAUGCAGUUCCCAGACCUCUACAUUCUCUGACGACUGUUGCUACAGAAUCAGUUACAGCUUGAAGGAAAAUUGAUCUAAAUUUGUUUUACAAAUAAGGUUAAAGAAAACAUUUUAAAGCUGAUACAAACUGCGUUGCUAGCAAACCACUCUGAAUCAUCAAAAGGUCAACAUCUCGUUGGGCUUGCAGUGGGCAAUAAGCCAGAAACAGUGCAUGGCUUUUUCCUUUGUGUGUGCACUAUUUAAUUUUAAUGGGACAUACAGCAAAGAACACACUAAAAUUAUAUUUAUUGCUCCUAUCUCCUGUGAAAACAUCUUUGGAUUAAUAACACUGUGCCAAAGUCUGCACAGCAUUGGUAGGUGCUGGCAGACAUGAGGCCAACAGCGAUCAUUUAGCAGUCUCCAUGACCUGGCUCUCAGUGAUGCUCUCCCUGCCUUAACCAUGCAAAAUUUAUCCAAUUCCUUUCCUCACCUUCUUCUGGAAGAUAAGUCCUGCAGGCUUUUGGUGACACAAAACUUGAGUUUGUUUUUUUUCCUUUUCCCGGUGAUCUCACUCCCAAUGCACACACUGUUACAGAUCUUUUCUUCACUAAACUAAGGAUCACUGUCUGAUCUUUUUUUUUCUUUUUUUUUUUUUUGAAAAUGGAGCAGAGAAAAAUCUGAACAUCAGCAUUUAGAGAGACUAAAAGAACAAAGAACCUUGAUACUGUCUUAUUGUCAGGCAAAGGAGGUUGCCUAGCCUUUGUUUCUGGUUAGUAUCUGUAAAUAUAAAAAAAAAAAAGUCAUUUCUUUUGUAGUCCCACACAUGGUUCUACAAACUAAUCACACCAAAAAAAACCAACCAACCAACCAACAAAAAAAAAACCACACCUCACCACCACCAAAAAACAACGCACCAACCUUUUCAUAUUGCUAAUGUCUCAUGCUAGGUAAACAAGAUUCAUUCAAGCAACAGCAGCAGAUUCCUAGGAUCUUCCGAGACUCUAUUAUUAUGCUCUUGAGUAUUUCCAUAUUCUUCACUUUUCUCAAGUCCACACAACCUGGAUGAGGAGGACUAAUGGCUUCAGCAAAGCGAAAGCCUCAACCCAGAACCACGCUCCUGUUUCCACGGCCAUGCUGCAAACAAGCCCUCUGUAAGGGAGAGUGCAGUGUCUGCAAUUCCUCCUGCAGAACAUGGCUUCCUCAAUCAAAAUAUGAAAACAUAAACACCUCUUCUGUCCCCUACAGGUUCUUGUUUUAAUCACCUUGCCUCCCUGCACAGCCCUCUCACAGUGACCACGGGCUUUUCAGUAUGACAAACGAGUAGUUUUGCAAAGGCAGCUCAAUGCAGAGCACAUUAGGUAGAUCAAGCAACAAUAUCACACCACAGUCCCUGGCUCUCCUCAUAGCCUGGCCACGAGGCUCGCAUGUCCCAGGACAAGUCAUUUUCCCCUUCAUGUCUAGUGCAAGUUUUCUCAAUAGAUAGUGUUUGCUAGAACAGGUCCUUACUCCUUGGUGUUACAGGUGUGAACUGGGAUACAAAAAUAACAGGUCACAACUUGGCAGCCCAUAUUUUCUUAAUCUCUUCGUGGAUCUUAUUUGGCAAGGUGAGGAAAUCUGCGUUAGUUCGCUGAUGAGAGAAUUUGGCAUAGCUCUUUAGUUUCACAUACGAUCCCUAAAUAAGGUGCUUGUGUUUCCAUACAGUUGCCACAACUCUGCAGAUGCCCAACAUACCAAGACUGGACAGCACCAAGAUUCAGAACAACCCACAGCAGCCAACCCAGCUCCGCUGUGCUGUUCCCAGCCAUCUUAUCACAAAGGCUACAGAAAAUGUGCCUAUAACUUUGACAUACCCCCCUUGCACAGCACUGGCUACAAGCCAAUAGCACAAGCACGUGGCCUAGUAAAAGACAAUAUCCUAAUGCCAUUUUUGUAUUGAUAUCCUAGAUAGAUGCAAUAGCAAACAAGAUUUCUAAGCAUGGAUGUUGCAGUGGUUUGCUCCCUGCCCCGUGUCACCUUUGCUGGGGGAAGGAAGGAGCAGGUGAAGGCAGCUCUGCUCUCCCAGUUGGUGGAGGCUCCACUGGCUCUGCCCCUAAGGGACAGCAGAGAUUCAGGUAUCCAAUUGGUGAACUCUGGAGGGAAAAGUAUGCUGGAAGAGGCUGUGCUAGGGUCACAGGCCCCAGGUGGAGAAGGGAAGUGCAGGAUAUCUGUGCUGCAGGGGAAUGUGUAGGACCACUGCCCUGCAACAACAGGCCCUUGCUCAGAGAGGCCAGAUCAGCUGGCCGGCAGCAAAGGAGAGCAAGCUCCCCAGUUCCACCACCCAUGGUCCUUCACUUCCCACGGAUUCCUUUGCUGUUAGACUCAACAUCCUCGUGCUUGGGUAGAUAUUUUUCUUCUGACAGUUCCCACAUAGCUGAGCUGCCUGUCACUAUCUACCACAAAUACAGAGGUUUGCACCAGUGCAACAGGAUAGAGAACACAACCCUGGGUCUUCAGCAGCUCCACGACAAUGCUCCAAGUCCCAUUUCAACCACUGCCAAAUGUGCUAUAAGGGGCAUCAACAGCCAUGUCUGGGGUAAUCCUAGCUAAAGAACAGAUACAGAGAUUCAAGAAUGACAUCAUUUUAUUCUGUACUUUCCAGCACAUUGUGUAGUUAACAAGUCUGGUGACAUGGUAUAAAUAACAAGUACUUCCCCUCCUAAAAAUCUUUCCUUAACCUGUAUAUUAGGAUUUUAUUUUUUUUUUAAAUCAAAACAUUAGAAGCAUUAAUUAAAAGUAAUUGUUGAUGAUAUCAUCCUAAAUGCUUACUGUGUUUCUUAUCUGGCCAACUCAUGCCUUAGAUUCCAAGAAUAAAUCACAAAGACAGCAGAUACCACAUACCACCACAGAAAUGAGUUUAGCCCGAGAGAACAAAUUAAGGGAAAAGAUACAAUCUAAAGCCCAGAGCUCCCUUUGGAAAUGAUGCGUUGGUCUUGCUCUUGUUCAGAGAUGCUCUUUACACUCAGGCUCCACAGCCAGCAGUGGCAGAGCAGGCUUUGCCAGCCCUUGCCUGUUCGAUGUUCUGGCAAUCUUGCCCCACUCAGGGGCAGUGCAAAAUGCCCCGUGCAGGGCCCACAGAGGCAGCACCCUGCCCCACGCCAUACAGCUGGAUAUGCCAGGCACCUCAGCACAGCUUCCCUGAAAGUCCCUGUUUCUUAGGUCAAAUAAGUGGACUGAGAAUAGAGAAAAGAAAAAGUGAACUUUGUUUACUGAAAUGCCCAAGGCCUCUCCUUCCCCACCAUCCAGUCAAGACCUCCAGCUCCUGCAUGAUUCAGGGAUCCUUCACCAGCUUUGUUUUUCCUGGCCUUUAUCAGUAAUCACAGCCUCUUCAGCCAAGCUCUGUGGCAGGCUUGAAUGAGUCACAACUAAUAUCAGACUGAUUCACAUGGACACAUCAACCACAGCUUCCAGCUACACUUACAUGGCUGCAGAUCAAGUCAAGAAAGAAGGAAAACACUGGGUUCCCAUAAAGAAACUGCACACAGCUACUUCAGAAUUAGUCAGGUAUUGAGUGUGUAGAUAAGCAGUGGGAAGAAAAAAAAAGUAACAUUAAAUAUUAUGAGGAAAAUUGUUCCUAUGCUCUUAGAAACCAGCCUUAUCACCUGUGGCAUGCAGUUAUAAUAACACAUCUCCAAUGAGGGAGACUUCUUUACUGUGAGGUGACAGAGCACUGCAACAGGUUGCCCAGAGAGGCUGUGGGGUCUCCUUCUCUGGAGAUAUUCAAAACCCACCUGGAUGCCAUCCUGCACAAUGUGCUCUAGGUGAUCCUGCUUGGCAGGGGGGUUGGACCAGAUGAUCUCCAGAGGUCCCUUCCAACCUCGGCCAUUCUGUGAUUCUGUGAGUACCCUGUAAUCUUGCAAUUUGUCUUACUGUAAUUUUUAAAAGAAAGAAUGGUUCUACUUUUUUGCCCCCAGACUAUGCCGGUACCAAUAACCUGGUGAAAUUUCUCCUCUCCUUUCCUUAUAAGGGGCAAUCUCACCAAGGACUGCAUUACCUUCUUUAUAAUGUACUUUUCUUCUGGGGGGUCUCUCACGGUCCUGGGCUCCCCAUGGCCCUUGGGAGAAAACAGUGAGCAUUGUGGGGUGCUGAAUCAGCUGUUAGUAAGACACUCCACCGCUACUGCAUGCACGGGCUGAUUCUGCCCAAGCUUUAAUGUGUCAAAGAAGAAAAGGGAAACAGCUGGGCAGAGCAAAGAGGACUUUUUAGAAACAAGGAAGCCAUGCCAGGUAUGGUGAGAUCUGGCAAGAGGAGGGCCAGAAAGAGAAGGAAAGGAGGAGGUGACACCAGCAGGAGCUGCCAGCUCACAGUUAAGGUGUCCCCUAACUGAGCCAGCAGCAGCUAGCAGAGGGUUAAUUACUUCAUCACCACAACACCAGCUUCAGCUACCUGAUCAAUAUUGUGGGAUGCUAAAUAAAAAGAAGUUCCUGCAAAACUUCCCUGCAGCACCUCUCCGGCACAGCGUGAGAAACAGCUAUGGCCUCCAAUUUGGUGAUAAAAGCCACCCAAGGAGUGCUUCAGCUACAUAACACCUGGCUAGACAAGAGCAUGAGUCACUUUGUGAACCUCAGGCACGUCCUGGCUGGCAGGUGGUUGUGCCCAGUUCACCAGCUGCCCCACACGGCUUACACGUGUUGAGCCAAACACCGGAAUUGACCUACCUAGCUCUCCAGAGCUAUGCACGUGUGUGCAGACCCUGUGAAUUACUGCAGUUCUCAUUCUUUUAAUCAGAUGUUUUGCACUGUUCCAAGAUACGGAGCAGGUGAGACAGCAAUAACUGGCAGCUCAAACACACCGCAGGGCUGCCAUGAUACUGAGGCCUCUUAACUUGCUCCCACUGCUGCUGACAGCAAAAUGCUCACCACCUGCAGGAAGGGUGAGAGCUUCUGCAUCCUCAGAUGCUUUCAGAGCUGGCUCAAACCUUGUGCGCGAUUCUGCCCUCCCAAGGAGCUGCCAAAAGCUUUCUCCAUUGCUCUUACGAACCCAAAGUCACACCUAGGUCCCCCAUUGAUCAUUUGAAUACCAAGCUAUGUUUUCACAUCUACACAGAACUUGUUCUUUCCAAUAAACAAUCUUGUCUCCACCUUAUGCCAUAAAGUUCUGAUUCAAACUAAGGCCACUGAAAAAGGUGAGAGGGUAUAUAAAACAGGUUUGUUUGAAAGCCAGUAGUAGGUUCGUUUCUUUGGUUUGAAAUGGUAACUUCAGAAAACAACAUACAGUGGAUGCUUGCAGUGGCUGUUUAUGACAAGGUCUAGCUACUAGAAUUAAUAGUCAAGUUUUUAAUAGUUUAUAAUGUGCAUGAGAUUCCCAGAGAAUCACAGAGCUGGGGCCCGCUGCUCCAUGCUCAGCACUAUGGGAGACUCUCCUUUCUCAGCAAGAAGCAUGUUCCAUACUCAGAUGAAACAAAAAAGAGCUCAGCAAGUACACAUUUCAUUUCUUUGUGUGCUAAAGCAAUGUGGAUUGUACAACACCAACAUAAUUACACGCAAUCACAUAAAUAAGUGGUACAGAGAACAUCACUCACGAGAUGACAGAGGACAUCACCACCCAGCCCUUCUCACCCUCACAUCAGACUGCAGGAGCCAUAAACAUUCAGCUUUGAAAGGACUGCAGGAACUUCAACCGUUAGUGCCAGAAAAUGUACUGCCCUCAUGAAAGCUGUGCUUUAACUGCAGAUUUCCUAACAUACAAAAUGAAGGAUCCUGCCAAAUUUUAAGGGCUUGAAUAUUUUUCAGUCUCCAGCAGAAAAGUGAGCAGUGUUAAUGAGAGUAGGGCACUGUAGGCUCUUCUCCAGUCUGUCUUCCUCCAGGAAUCGUUUCCACUGUUGCCACCAAGUAGAGGGUUGCUUCACUGAGAUGCCAAUGUCCAAGCCUGGAAGUGCUGUGAUGUAGAGGACUGCUGAUAAAACGUCACCAAUGUGAACAGGCCUGGAGCAGGCAUGCUGCUUUGCUGCCCUUCUCUCCUAACAGCUCUACAGGAAUGCUCCUUGUGUGGUUUCCCUGCUGUGCAUGGCUGCUGCUGCUGGCCAGCAAGAAACAUGAGGCCUGCAAGCAGUGUCCUGUGCCGGGGUUCUGCCAGCCAUUUUAAUACACGUACACAUAGCAGAUAAGCACUGAGAUGUAACAGAGGAAAUGGGAUAAAAGCCAACCAAAUACUCCUUCCACACUACUGCAGUUUAUUCAGCCCGAAUUCCUGAUGCACUCUAACGAUCAAUCACUUUGGCUAAUUGAACAUUACUCAGACACCACCGCACAGCACAACGUUCACAGCCCUCGCGAUGACAACAGCCAAGCAGCAGAGGCAUUACAGGGUUCAGUGUUUUGCAGCGGGUGCAUACAUGGAGCAGGUCCUUGUGUGAAGGCUCGUUAUAGCACAACUGUCCCUCUGCAAACAAAGCAGCAGCACGUUGGGCUCCUCCGGGGCUGAUAAGUGCAACGGAUAGGGAUGGUAUUGUCAUCGUUAGCAAUCAAGGCCGAUUAGUGCCACAGAGAGCAGUUACGACUAAGCAGGUUGGCUCUGUUAGCUCUUUCCCUCUCAGGUUUAACGGUGAGAUCCAAACCAGGAGGCACGGGUGAUGACAGGAGGAGAGCGAGGGGAGCAGGGUGGGAAAGGGGGUUAUGAUUAAAAAACAAAGGAGAGAUACUCUGAGACACACAGUCACCGUAAUGGCAGACAGGCAGACCAGAGGCAGACAACGACAU